GCUGGGCAUGGUGGUGCAUGCCUGUAAUCCCAGCUACUCAGGAGGCUGAGGCAGGAGAAUCACUUGAACCCAGGAGGUGGAGGUCGCAGUGAGCUGAGGUCGCACCACUGCACUCCAGCCUGGGCAACAGAGCGAGACUCUGUCUCAA
ensembl:misc_RNA Metazoa_SRP Metazoan signal recognition particle RNA